GCAAGUCGAGGGGUAACAUUGGUGCUUGCACCAGAUGACGACCGGCGCACGGGUGCGUAACGCGUAUAGAACCUACCUUUUACAGGGGAAUAGCCUUUAGAAAUGAAGAUUAAUGCCCCAUAGUAUUACGACUCGGCAUCGAGAUGUAAUUAAAGAUUUAUCGGUAAAAGAUGGCUAUGCGUCCUAUUAGUUAGUUGGUAAGGUAACGGCUUACCAUGGCUACGAUAGAUAGGGGUCCUGAGAGGGAGAUC
rnacentral:rRNA from 1 species